GAUGAACGCUGGCGGCGUGCCUAAUACAUGCAAGUCGAGCGAACAGACGAGGAGCUUGCUCCUCUGACGUUAGCGGCGGACGGGUGAGUAACACGUGGAUAACCUACCUAUAAGACUGGGAUAACUUCGGGAAACCGGAUCUAAUACCGUAUAAGAUAUUGAACCGCAUUGUUCAAUAGUGAAAGACGGUUUUUCUGUCUCGUAUAGAUGGAUCCGCGCCGCAUUAGCUUGUUGGUAAGGUAACGGGUUACCAAGGCAACGAUGCGUAGCCGACGUGUGAGAGUGGUCGCCCGCAUUGGAACUUGGCCACCCACAAGAGUCCUACGGGACGGAGCAGUCGGGUAUCGUCCGCAGCGGGCGGAAGCCUUGCGGAGUGGCCGCGAGCCAGUUGCGACGAUCCUGGGAUCGUAAAGAUCUCUUACGAGUUGAGAACCACUGUGUACGUAAAUGAAGAGGUAUUGACGGUAACUAGUCAGAAAGCAACGGCUAACUACGUG
rnacentral:rRNA from 1 species